rnacentral:rRNA from 1 species
UACGAAGGGGGCUAGCGUUGCUCGGAAUCACUGGGCGUAAAGGGUGCGUAGGCGGGUCUUUAAGUCAGGGGUGAAAUCCCAGAGCUCAACUCUGGAACUGCCUUUGAUACUGACGAUCUGGAGUAUGGAAGAGGUGAGUGGAAUUCCGAGUGUAGAGGUGAAAUUCGUAGAUAUUCGGAGGAACACCAGUGGCGAAGGCGGCUCACUGGUCCAUUACUGACGCUGAGGUGCGAAAGCGUGGGGAGCAAACAGG